UACGUAGGGUGCAAGCGUUGUCCGGAGUUAUUGGGCGUAAAGAGCUCGUAGGCGGCUUGUCGCGUCGGCUGUGAAAACCCGGGGCUCAACCCCGGGCCUGCAGUCGAUACGGGCAGGCUAGAGUCCGGCAGGGGAGACUGGAAUUCCUGGUGUAGCGGUGGAAUGCGCAGAUAUCAGGAGGAACACCGGUGGCGAAGGCGGGUCUCUGGGCCGUUACUGACGCUGAGGAGCGAAAGCGUGGGGAGCGAACAGG
rnacentral:rRNA from 1 species